CUACUACUCCCUCCGUCCGGAAAUACUUGUCAUCAAAAUGAAUAAAAGGGGAUGUAUCUAGAUGUAUAUUCAUUCUAGAUACAUCCAUUUUUAUCCAUUUUGAUGACAAGUAUUUUCGACGAAGGGAGUACUCC
rfam:Triticum aestivum genome assembly, contig: Triticum_aestivum_CS42_TGACv1_scaffold_146022_2BS